rnacentral:rRNA from 1 species
UACGUAGGGUCCGAGCGUUGUCCGGAAUUACUGGGCGUAAAGAGCUCGUAGGUGGUUUGUCGCGUUGUCCGUGAAAACUCGCAACUCAAUUGUGGGCGUGCGGGCGAUACGGGCAGACUGGAGUACUGCAGGGGGAGACUGGAAUUCCUGGUGUAGCGGUGGAAUGCGCAGAUAUCAGGAGGAACACCGGUGGCGAAGGCGGGUCUCGUGGGCAGUAACUGACGCUGAGGAGCGAAAGCGUGGGGAGCGAACAGG